AGUUUUCAGUCAGUUCUCUCAACGCUUGCAGUGUUGUCGUGAAAUAUUAGUGCUAAUUACCUAUUGCAUAGCUAAAUUAUGGCCCAGGACGUGAGCUCUUAUGAUAUCGCUCGGAAUGACAAAUUUGGACGAUAUCUGGUCGCGAAUAAAGACCUGACGGCUGGGGAGUUAAUUUUUACAGAUAAGCCUUUCGCUUUCGGACCGAAACCAGACAGCCCGCCGCUGUGCCUAGGAUGUUACUGCCCCGUGCAGAGCACGCUAUGUUCCCGCUGUGGCUGGCCAAUCUGUGGCGCGGAGUGCGAAGCGGCACCGGCGCACGCGGGAGAAUGCGCGGUAUUCGCGGCUGCCAAGGUGCGCUUCCAGCCACCAGAAGACUGGACCGAAAGUUCACCACAACUCGACUGCAUCACACCGUUGAGAAUGCUACUAGCCAAAGAGAAGGACCCAGAACGCUGGCAGCGUGAACUCGAGCCUAUGGAAACUCACGCAACGGCGCGGCAAGAGCGGCCAGCGUGGGCCGCCGACCAAGUCAACGUGGUCACCUUCCUGAUCGAUCAUUGCAAGCUCGGCGCGCGAUUCGACAAGGAGCUGGUGCAGCGAGUCUGUGGCAUCCUUGAGGUGAACGCAGUGGAGAUUCCAUCUCGUGGCGGAUUCAGCAUCCGCGCAAUCUACCCUCAGCUCGCCAUAGCAGCUCACAGCUGUGUCCCCAACAUCGUGCACACUAUACUCCAGAAUGAUUAUGAGGUCCAGGUGCGAGCGGCAGUGGCAAUCCCAUCCGGCGCUGCACUACAUCUAUGUUACACGCACGUACUCUCCCCAACACCCACUCGGCGCGACUACCUACUGGAGUCCAAGUUCUUCGCCUGUGACUGUGCACGCUGCGCCGACCCCACGGAGCUCGGCUCGCAUCUCAGCACGCUCAAGUGCAACAAGUGUGAUAACGGGGUCAUCCUGUGCAGUAAUCCGUUAGAUAACGAGUCGCCUUGGAAGUGCAACGACAAGAACUGCGGCUUCCAAACGUCGAGCGCAGCAAUGAAAAAGAUGUUGGCCGUGGUUCAGGCGGAAGUCGACCAGCUGGACGCAUUAGAAGGAACACAGGCCAUCGAGAUGAGAGAGGCCACGCUUAAGAAGUAUAAGUCAGUGUUCCACCCACGGCACGCCAUCCUGCUAUCCCUGAAGCACGCGUUGGCGACUCUGUACGGGCGCGUGGAGGGCUACGCCAUCGACGAGCUGCCCGACCUGCUGCUGGAGCGCAAGGCCGAGCUGUGCCGCCUCGUGCUCGACACGCUGCAGAUAGUCGCGCCCGGAGAGACCAGGAUGCGCGGUAUGAUGUUGUACGAGCUCCACGCGCCCGUGAUGUUCCUCGCCCGCAGCGAGUUCAGCGCCGGCCUCAUCGACCAGGACAAGCUGAAGGAGCGCCUGCAGGAGCCCAUCCGACUCCUGGCGGAAGCUUCGAGAAUACUCGGCCGGGAGGACCCGCAGAGCCCCGAGGGCAUCACGGGAGAGAUCGCGAAACAGUCCAUGGAGCAACUCCAGGCUAGCAUUGACGCGUUGUAGCCAGGAUGGAUCCUAUGACUCGGUUGUUGGGGACUUUAACGGCCCAGCCACGACAUUGGUCUUAGCAGGGAUUUCCGAAUGCGACCCGCUAAGUGCUUCGUUCUAAAGCGACUAGGUUGGAGUGGGACACAGCGAUGGGAGCUUUCGUUCGCACCUAUGACCACUGCUGUCGCCUUAAACCAAUGUUGUGGCCAGGCCGUAUGAGCCUCGAGAUCGACUGAGUUUGAGUAGCCUCAGAUUUGCAUUUGUCAUUUGUUAUAAAUAUGUAGUGUAGUCGUCUGUCUCUACUGGCUAGUUUUUCUUUAGCCAGUUUGUUGAAAACAAUGUAGUGAAAAUAUUGUGGAGGUUUCGAAACCAUCAGAAAAUAAUAUUCGAAAAUUUCGAAAUAACCUUAAAAUGAACCAAAUACUUAUAGAAUGUCUAGUCAUCGUUCUGUUUGUUUUUGAAGAAUCUUGAAGGGAGAACCCUGGUUAAACAUUUUCGCAUAUUUACCUCGAAUAAUUGAAUUUUCAAAUGUUUUUGUGUGUUAUGCUGUAGUAAAUUAUCUCAAAAAAGACAAAUAUUUAAAUUAUGAUCUCUUGGAAAACAUUUGGAGGUUUUUGAAAUUUAUACAAACUUUAUGUUAAGUCUGAAUCUUCUCUUGUAUUACUUAAUAUCAAAAGUAUGUACUAUUAAAAAAAGACCAUGUACUUAUUGUAUUACUUAAUUAUGUGAUAGAAGUAAGUAGAUUUGUAUAUUGUAUGUGUAUUCGUAUAUAUGUUGUAUUAAUGUUGGGUAUGCACUAAAUGUUGAUAAACAUUA
rnacentral:misc_RNA from 1 species